AUGAACAUGAGGGCCCCUGCUCAGCUCCUUGGGAUCCUGCUGCUCUGUCUUCCAGGUGCCAGAUGUGACAUCCAGAUGACCCAGUCUCCAUCUUCCCUGUCUACAUCUCUGGGAGACAGAGUCACUCUCACUUGCCGGGCCAGUCAGGGCAUUAGCAGUAAUUUAAUCUGGUUACAGCAGAAACCAGGAAAACCUCCUAAGCAACUGAUUUAUGGUGCAUCCAACUUGGCAGAUGGGGUCCCAUCGAGGUUCAGUGGCAGUGGGUCUGGGACAGAUUAUUCUCUCAGAAUCAGCAGCCUAGAGCCUGAAGAUAUGGCAACUUAUUACUGUCAACAGAAUGCUCAGUUUCCUCCCACAGUGAUACAAGUCAUACCAUAA